rnacentral:misc_RNA from 1 species
GGCACUUGCUGCCCAGAAAAGUGUGAAUAUUAUCACAAACCUUACAGGUAAGUCCUCCAAGAUCACUAUGAUUUCUUGGAUUCUAUUUCUUAGUGAGAACACGUUCAUCUUGGGCCUUUGGCUCCGAUAUAUUCUCAUCCUAUUUUUCUCAUACUGUAAAAUCUAUGUUCUAUUCUAUCAGAAGGAUGUUAAAACAAUAAUCAGUAAUUUGCCAUUUCUAUAGUCAUAACCUAUUCAAAAUAGUGUGUAUUUACUAGCUUGUUGCCUCCAUUCAGCUCGACCUCAAAGCUCAGUUACUGUUCUAGAAACUAGAAUUGAUGAAGGGGAUUCUGUGAGGUUAGCAGCCAUUUCAUGAGGAACUUAUACGAUCACUGCAGAGUUGAUGUACAGAUACAAAUUGAAAAGAAAAAGAAAUCUGAUUUGACAAAUACACAGAGGUAGUAAGCUAGAAGGCAAGGCAGGUUUGAUUUGCCAUUGUUCUAUGGAGAUUGAUGCAACUGAUUUGUCACAUCCCCAGCUUUAUAGAAGUCUGUAGAAUAACAUUAUAUGCCAUAUUCCAUUAUCCUAUGCUUUUGCUGCAACUGGAAGUUUGUCUCACAUGAUUGUAUCUUUUUGUUAAUAUUUUUUCCCCUUCCAUGGCAGCUUAAAAAACCCCACUUGCUCAUUUGUAUUUGCAUUCUUGAGCAAAU